rnacentral:rRNA from 1 species
GAGGAAUGUAUAGCAAUAGCUACUUGCAUCAUAGUUAAUAUGAUGCAAGCUCGACUAAGUUGAAUAAAAUUCUAGGUAGAAUUAUGAUAAUGACAUUGUCUGCCUAUGUGUCUUGACCAAAUUACGUGCCAGCAGUCGCGGUAAUACGUAGAAGACUAGUGUUAUUCAUGUUUAAUCGGUUUAAAGGGUACCUAGACGGUGAAUCAAGCUUUCGUGUAAAUAAUAAAAACCAGAAAAUCCAGAUUAUAUAAGAAACUUAUUUACAUAUGAUAAGGACUAAUUUACUAGAGUUACUUAUGAGGGGGUAUUAAAGUACUGCUGGUGUAGAGAUGAAAUUCUGUCAUACCUCUUUUCGAAAGAAAAAUCAUGGCACAGGUAUAGGCGAAGGCAUCCCCUUAUGUGCUAACUGACGUUGAGGGACGAAGGCUUCAUGUAACAAACAGGAUUAGAUACCCUAGUAGUUGAAGCAGAAAAUGAUGAAUGUCAUAGAUUAGAUAUCUAAGUUUAUUCUAUAAAUGAAAGUGUAAGCAUUCCACCUCAUGAGUAAUUUGGCAACAUUGGAAUUGAAAUCAUUAGACCGUUUCUGAAACCAGUAGUGAAGUAUGUUGUUUAAAUUGAUAACCCGCAAAAAACCUUACCACAAUUUGAAUAUUUAUAUCUUUUAUUGUUUUCAUCUUAAUUUUCUUAUGAUUUUAUAAAUAAAAAUAAAAAAUAUUAAGAACAAGGCAAUAAGAUACAUUUACAAGCGUUGCACGGCUGUCUUCAGUUAAUGUCGUGAGACUUUGGUUAGUUCCAUUAAAUUAACGUAAACCCUUACUUUAUUUUUUAUAUAGAGUAGUUCUCCACUAUAUUGGAUAUGAU